ACGAAUUACUGUUUCAAAAUGUAUGCAUAUUUAAAAUUUAGAUUCAGCAACAAGAGUACAUCAAUAUAUCCUCCCAUAAGUGAGAAUUUUUUUUCCCAAAUUCUCAUAUUGUUUAAGUUUUGGGAUAAAAAUAACAUUUAAUUUUUGCCUUAAUUUAUUAUUCUUGAAUAAUGAGUGAGAUUGAGCAUCUCUUCGUAAGCCUAUUUGCAUGUGGAUCUCCUGGAAAUAAGUGGUUUUAUAAUCAUUAUCAAGAGGGCCCUUUCAUUGUAUUGGUUUAAUCUCUGUUUUGCACUUAGGGUCGCAAAGAAGCCAGAGUGGAGGCUGAAGGGAUAAUGGAUUUAAAUGAAUUUUGGCUGUACCAUCAAGCAGUCUGAUCACUGAGGAAAUAUCAAAAGCUUCACCCAAGUGACUCAUCAUUCAAAUUCCACAGAGACUUGCCAAAGAAACUGCUUAUUUCACAGAAGGACGGUAUUGGCUGAAAGGUGCUUCCUUGAAACUGAGAGAUUGCUGCCUUAGACAGUUUUUGAUGAGAACUGUGGAGAAUUUCAAGCUUUCUAAGAUAUAACAUGAAGCAUUUCUUCUUAAAGCAUGUGAGUUUUGUUUAUUGAUAAUGUGAUAUUGCAGCAUAAAAUUUAUAUUAGGCAAACCCCAUCACAGGGCUGCUUUUCCUUUUGUCUUAUAUAGCUUCUAUGUGGUUCUUUCACUAAUGUCCCAGAGGAAAAACAAAGCCAAAAUCUUAUCUCCAAUAUCAAGAUCAUGGCAUGUGUAGCAGGUCAAGCAUGGGAAAAUGCAAAUCAUUUGAAGGCUAUAAAGAUUACAAUAAUAAGUUAUGUAUGUUUGUAAGCCAUUGAUCUAUAACUGAACAGAGUGUAUUGUUGGCUUUAAACUAGAAAGGUUAUGAGUCAAAUGUGAUUAAUGCUGUAGCAUGGUUAUGUACUUUGAGAUUACUGAGUAGCUAUGUAUGUUUCCUGAUAGAUAAGGUAGGUAUAUUCCCUAAAAAUAUUUCAUUAAGAAGUUUAGGACUCACUCGGUUAUUCACCUUUGAAUUACAUAUGGCAUAUCUAUAUUUACAUAUAUAUUUGUUUCAUUUUGUUGUGUUUUGUUUUAGAUGCAUAAAUUUGUGAUUUCCAGGAAAAUUGUGUUGCUUUUCAUGCCUUCAUUAUUUUUAUGAUUAUAUUUAUUUCUGUAAGUGAGAUUUCAAAAUGCUGAAAUAAUUGGCCAUCCAACAGUUAAAAUCCUUUAGUGGUAAAAUGAUGGAAAUCCUGGAUAACUGUGACUAUUCUUUAUGUCAUUUUUUUUCUUAAAAUCUAUAUUAACAAAAUGCCUUGAUUUAGAAUUAGCAUGAGGUAAUACAUAAGCUUAUUCCCCAUCUUUCAGUAUCUUAAAUAGUUUAAAUUGAUGUCAUAUUUAAAGACAAAAUUUCCACAAGAAGAGACACUUUGAAUACAGAAAAUUCUCAAAAAUGCCUCUCUCAAUCAAGUUCCAUCUUGUGAUACUUUUGUAAGUUAUUUUGAGGCAAAAUAACAAAGUCACUGUUAUUUACAUUUAUUGUUAAGCUGUUAAUCUCCUUAAUGUUUUGAUAUGCACAAUUGAUUUUAUUUUCACAAUAUGUCCCUUAGAUAAAUACAAUAAUUAUUCCAAUAAUUAAUUAUAGGUGAGGUAUAUGAAUCCUUAUUCUACAAUAGAACAGUUAAUUUGAAAGGGACUGGAAUCCAAAACUUUUUCUUUCUGACCAGACUCUACACUUUUCUUGAUAAAUUACAGAUCAGAGAACAGCCCAGUUUAUGUGGCCCAGAGCUUUGCCUAGAAAUCACAUUACAAUACUGGAUUUUUAUUGGAAUAUUGUUUGGUUAUUUAUUCUAUUUGGCUAAACUGCCAGGUAUACAAAAUUCCCCAUAAUGUGCUGUAGAGUAAUAUUGCUUGUCACUUUAAACAUAGAUAAAACUCUCAAAGCCUCCCUUGGAUUCCCCGAGAAUAUCCAUGUGUAUUUGGAAUUGUAUAGGAAAAUGCAACUGAAGAGUUUCUCUGCAGUGGCCUUGAUGAAUAUGUUCCUGCGAUGAAGAAAUUAGCCAGCUGUCUGAGAAAUAAAGAGAUUGCAAAAUUUUUACCAGUUCUUGAAUUCACUGGCUUUCUCAACAGUUUGUAAUAAGAUCUGAAGAUGACUUUCAGUGAAAUUAAGAUGAUCCUUUUUGAUCUAUGUCAGGGGUUCUCAACCUCAGCACUAUUAACAUUUCGAACAGAUAAUGAUGUGAUAUGAGGAGGGCUGACCUGUGCAAUGUAGGAUGAUUCACAGCAUCCAUGGCCUCUACCCAUUAGAUGCCAGUCUCAGCCCCCUAUUAUGACAAACAGUAUCUCCAGGUGUUGCCAAUGUCUCAUGGAAGUGGGCCAAAUAGUUCCCAGUUGAAAACCACUGGUUAAGAUGUAAACACUUCCCAUAAAGAAAAAUUUUCUCCUUAUUAUAUGGAAUAUAAACAAAUGUCUAGCCUUUCUCUGAAUAAUGAGUUAUCUUCAUUUUGUUGUGGUUGAAGGGAAAUUCCUAAGUGACCACUAUGUGCUUUCUUUUAGAAUCAUUAACUACACUGCUCUCUCAAGCCAAUUAUUAUCACAUAAAAUGUUUUCAAGGCCUGUGUGAGUGUUCAAAGGUCACAUUCGUAGUGAAAUGGCAAAUCUUUUUAUCUGAGAACUCAGUAAAUAAAAAGCUACUGUUCAAGGGUAAGAAGCAGCCACAAACUAUUUUUUUCCCCAAUAAAUCUACCCUUCCCUACAAUCUCAGACACUGUAUUGAGACAGGGAUGCCAGCUUAAAAGACUAAUUAUUCAAAAGGCUCAUUAUAUUAUCUCUUUGUCUUACCAUUGGGCCUUGGUUGAAGCUAUUCUGGACCACUCCUCCAGAUUUUCUAACUUCCAGUCUCAAAGAUCAGGAUAUCAGGCAUCAUUUCUUUUUCUCUCACAGACUCUCACCUUCUUAGGCAUAUAAGUUCACUUUUUCUGAGAAAUCAACUUGGAAUAUCAAGAAGUGAAAUAGAUUGGCUAAGGUACUCAAAACAUAACAACUGGUACCCAUUUCUCUACAUUUUCAUAACUAAGGCAUCUGAAUAACGUUUUUAGAGGCAAAAGUAUCUUCAAGGUGACUCUCCAUCCAUUUCUGUAUUAUAAAGUAGGUGCCAGCUUCUGUUUCCAAAAGACAACUAAUCUCCUAAGCUAAAUAGUCAGGAAUUUUUGCUAUCAGUUAUUCUACCAGACAGUGAUGUAAUCUCCUUGCAAAUGCAAUCUGUUUUUCUGAUGAAUUGCCAAUGUUUGGUGGCCACAGACGGAGGUGGGGACAGGGAAGAAAACCCCAUAGGCAUAGGUGUCCUUGUUUGAGGAUGUCAUUAAGAAGUCCAUUCUGGUUCACGGCCAUAUGCUUCGUUGUUGCCUUUGUACAAGGCCAGUCCACUCAUUUGUGUUUGGUGGUACAAAGAGAUAUUUUUGUUGUUGAGUACAAUUGCCUCCAUUUAGAAGUACUUAAAAUGAGCACAUGCACUUUCUGGAAAGCUAUUUCACUUUCAUUUUAUUAAAUGAUUUAUUGGAUGGCUCCCAAAAUGAUUACCUAGAAAUGUCAGGUAAAGGUUAAUUCAAUACCAUGGAGCAGAGUGGUGUUAGACUUGUGUGGUAUGAGGCUGAUUACAGCAUUUGCCUUAGGAAAGGAAAGGGAAUAAUUUAGUGUAACACCAUGGGUACCUGAUAUUAUUUUUCAAUUUACCUGUUGAUCAAGAAAUACAUUUCUGAGUGUCUUUUCCAUCUCAGAAGAAGUGGAAAUAUUUUUGAAAAAAUGGUCUCACUUCACUAUUUGAAAAUAUGUAUUGAAAUAAUUUAGGAAUAUUUUUCAUUUCUACUGAAACACUGUCUUCAUAUAAGAUUAUACUAUGGAAAAAAGAAGAGGCAUGAUAUGGGAGACAAGGGGAAGUGCAUUUUGGCAGAUAUAUUUUUAUGUAAAAUUUGUGAGGUCUGGAAACUCUGAAUUAGAAAGUGUGAGUUUGAUUACUGGCUCCAUGGUCUCUGUACUAAAUAGACGACAUUAGGACAGUUCAUCUUCUUAAGCUUUAGUUUCCUCAUCUGGAAUAUAGAAAAUGCAGAACACAGUUUACUUCACACAAACAUGCUCAGUCCACACAUUUUCUUGUUCAAGAAACAUUCACUGAGCACCAGCUGUGUCCCAGGAAUGGUUUUAAGCUCUGGAAACUUUUAGAGUGAGCUGAAACAAGCCCAUUCUGCUGCCUUCAUGGAGCCUGUGAGUUGGGGGGUUUGUGAGCUUUGUUAGAAAGACAGCUAUGAAUUAAGUAAUCAUAUAAACAUGUGUGAAAUGUUAACUGUGAUAAUAGCUGUCAAAUAAAACAAUGCAGUGUUAUAACUUUGAGAUAUAUCCUGAGUCUGAGAGAGCAGGAAACUUCCUUGAGAAAGUGACAGUACAGCUAGAUCCCAAAGAUGAAUAGAAGUUAACUAAGUAUAAUGGUCUGCAUAUUUGUAUCCCCUGAAAACUCAUAUGUUGAAAUAUACUCACCAUUGUGAUAGUAUUGGUAGGUGGGGAAUUUGAGAAGUGAUUAGAUUAUAAGGUGCUCUCAUGGUCGGGAUUAGUGCCCCUAGAAAAGAGGCCUUAGGGACCUGCCUUGCCCCUUCUACCCUGCAAGCACACAGCAUGAAGACACUUUCUCUCUUUGAAUGAGAAAGUGGGCCUUCUCCAGAUAUUGAAUUUGUUAGGGUCUUGAUCCUGAAUUUCGUUGCUUCCAGAACUGUGAGCAAGCUACCCAGUCUCGGCUAUUUGUUAUAGCAGUCCAAAUGACCUAAGACACUAAGGGAUGGUGGGGAAAAAAGGGGAGAGUAAUGUAGGCAAAGACCCUGUAUCAAUAGAGAGCGUCAGAGAAAAGUAGUGAAGGCCAGGGUGGUUGAUGCCUCAGGAAUGAGAGAGAAGCGUAAUGGUUAGUGCAACUGCUGGGGGCCAUGCUUGCCCUAAAAAGCGUGUAGGGCUUUUUAGACCAUAUUGUGGAUUCUGUUGUUUUUUUUUUUAUUUAAUAUUUUUGAGAAGCCACUAAAUAAUUCUAAGAAGAAUGAAGUGGUGGUGGUGGAGAUAUAAGUAUGUUGUAUUUUGAACUCUGAUUACAGUGAAGAAGAUGGGGGGACGGGAUGGAUCCUGCAGUAGGAUAAGUGAGGGCUGAGGACACCUUGGGUUAGGGAGACAGUAGAGGGGAGGGGAAAAGGUUAAUAGCAUUGAGAAGGUAAAAUCAAUAUAUAUAUUAGCUAUAAUUAUUGUUGUGGCUAUGGUUCUUAUGCCAUGUGAUCAAACUACUGAUGCUCUUCCUUUUGAGUUGGAACCAAUUGCUUUUUCAGGCUUAAUGAUAUGGUUUGAUUCUGUGUCCCCACCCAAAUCUCAUCUCAAAUUGUAAUCCCCAUGUGUCC